rnacentral:rRNA from 1 species
UACGGGGGGGGCAAGCGUUGUUCGGAAUUACUGGGCGUAAAGGGCUCGUAGGCGGCCAACUAAGUCCGACGUGAAAUCCCUCGGCUUAACCGGGGAACUGCGUCUGAUACUGGAUGGCUUGAGGUUGGGAGAGGGAUGCGGAAUUCCAGGUGUAGCGGUGAAAUGCGUAGAUAUCUGGAGGAACACCGGUGGCGAAGGCGGCAUCCUGGACCAAUGCUGACGCUGAGGAGCGAAAGCCAGGGGAGCAAACGGG